rnacentral:sRNA from 1 species
UUUCAGCAGAGAGGCGAUUACCAAACUGAAACAGAGGACGAAUAACAGAGUUAACGGAAUUGAG